rnacentral:rRNA from 1 species
GAUAAACGCUGGCGGCGUGCCUAAUACAUGCAAGUCGAGCGAACAGACGAGGAGCUUGCUCCUCUGACGUUAGCGGCGGACGGGUGAGUAACACGUGGAUAACCUACCUAUAAGACUGGGAUAACUUCGGGAAACCGGAGCUAAUACCGGAUAAUAUAUUGAACCGCAUGGUUCAAUAGUGAAAGACGGUUUUGCUGUCACUUAUAGAUGGAUCCGCGCCGCAUUAGCUAGUUGGUAAGGUAACGGCUUACCAAGGCAACGAUGCGUAGCCGACCUGAGAGGGUGAUCGGCCACACGGGAACUGAGACACGGUCCAGACUCCUACGGGAGGCAGCAGUAGGGAAUCUUCCGCAAUGGGCGAAAGCCUGACGGAGCAACGCCGCGUGAGUGAUGAAGGUCUUCGGAUCGUAAAACUCUGUUAUUAGGGAAGAACAAAUGUGUAGUAACUAUGCACGUCUUGACGGUACCUAAUCAGAAAGCCACGGCUAACUACGUG